GAUACUUGCGAAGCAGGAAGGCCGAGCUAGGCCUGCUCCAGGCCUCAUGGUCACCUUCAGGAACGGCGGCUUGGCCCUGAAUUGGUGCUGAGAACAUGACAGUUCAGAGUGACAAUUUCUUCAGAGUUCUACAAAGGCAUGGGAGGAGGCACAAAGGCAUAAGCAUCUAGAGGCUGUGGAUUCCCCAGAAGAACCUAUUUCCCUGAUAACUAGAGGCUGAACAAGAGCGCGUCAUUAUAGAGGUUUAAAUAACCCACAUAAGGUCAGCUGCUGCUUAAAUCCUUACUACCAGGUCUGUAGAUAUUUUUGCUUUGUUUCUAAGCAAGCUGAGAGUCCCGGUGCCAAAGGGCAACAUGUAAAUUGUGCUGUUAUUCUGCAGUGUGCAAGGUAAUAAAUGGUGCUGUCAA